UACGGGGGGAGCAAGCGUUGUUCGGAUUUACUGGGCGUAAAGGGCGCGUAGGCGGUCAGCACAAGUCAGUUGUGAAAUCUCCGGGCUUAACUCGGAAAGGUCAACUGAUACUGUGCGACUAGAGUGCAGAAGGGGCAACUGGAAUUCUCGGUGUAGCGGUGAAAUGCGUAGAUAUCGUAAGGAACGCCGGUGGCGAAAGCGACGUGCUGGAUACCUACUGACGCUGAGGCGCGAAAGCCAGGGGAGCAAACGGG
rnacentral:rRNA from 1 species